CAGGAAGGGCAGCUCGUCGCCGCAGCCUUGAAGCUUCAGAACCCGACUGUUCAGAUCCAAGCAGCACUGAGGGAGGAUCCACAUGCAACACCUGGAUCAGGCGUGGAAACAAGAACGACUGAUUAUGAUCACCUGCAGGAACCAACCUGCAGUUGCAGAGGAACAUCAACUUAAACAUCCAAAUGUGAGCUUCGUUUGGAGGUUCCUCUGGUCCCAGCGGGCCGCUGGUCAUAGCGAGUUGGGGAGGUAAAGCGAACACAGCAGCAUGUUCU